GUCAGCAUGGUGUAGUGGUUUGAACAUUGGACUGUGACUCUGGGCAGCAGGGUUCAAAUCCCUGCUCAGCCA